rnacentral:rRNA from 1 species
GAUGAACGCUGGCGGCGUGCCUAAUACAUGCAAGUCGAGCGAACGGACGAGAAGCUUGCUUCUCUGAUGUUAGCGGCGGACGGGUGAGUAACACGUGGAUAACCUACCUAUAAGACUGGGAUAACUUCGGGAAACCGGAGCUAAUACCGGAUAAUAUUUUGAACCGCAUGGUUCAAAAGUGAAAGACGGUCUUGCUGUCACUUAUAGAUGGAUCCGCGCUGCAUUAGCUAGUUGGUAAGGUAACGGCUUACCAAGGCAACGAUGCAUAGCCGACCUGAGAGGGUGAUCGGCCACACUAGAGCUGAGACACGGUCAAGACGCCUAAGGGAGGCAGCAGUAGGGAAUCGUACGCAAUGGGCGAAAGCAUGACGGAGUAACGCCGCGUGAGUGAUGAAGGUGUUCGGAUCGUAAAACUCGGUUAUGAGGGAAGAACAGAUGUGGAAGUAAAUGAGCACAGAGUGACGGUACCUAAUCAGAAAGCCACGGCUAACUACGUG